UAUAUAUUAGAGCUUGAAGAAGUCAUCACAAAAAAGGAGCAAGAAAGAUGUCAUGCCAAGGUAAGCUAGUGUGGCCGGAACUAGUUGGCGAAGAUGGAAAAAAGGCAGCAGAAAUAAUCGAGAAAGAAAACCCCUCGGUGAAGGCCGUUGUACUAGAUGAAGAUUCUGAUAUACCAUUUGACCUGAGAUGUGAUCGUGUUUUUGUUUUUGUUGAUUCAAACAACAUUGUCGUUGAUAUUCCUUCUGUUGGCUAAGCUAAAUUAUGAUGUGCAACUUUAGUAUGUAGAUCGAUAUGAUGUGCAACUUAAUUAUGAAAAUCUCGUACUACUAAAUAAAGGUGCACAUUAUUAUUAGUAUUGUAUUAGUACUUGGUAGUGAUUAUUGAAUGGUACUUACUUGGUAUCAUAGACACUGUUUUAUGUUUCUUAUCGAUUAGUACACUUUUAAUCCUUCAAUCUAUGUUACUAAGACUUGGCUAAUUAAAAGUGUUAGGCACGAUCCUUUAAUGAAAUUUUUGUUUAACUUUGGCCCGUAUAAAUUAUAAAGUGUUUAACUGGCUUCUUUUGGAGAAAGGUAUAGAAAUCAGCAUUUAUAUAGCUCAAAUUCGGCCAGAUUUAAAAGUGGAGUAUUAGAUGUAUGGUUUACAUAAUACUCUGUAAUGUUUAGAUUUAUUUUAGAGCAUUAGAGCAUAAUAGAUGGUGCAAAACAUGUACAUACAGAGUAUCAUUGCUUCUAAUUCAAUCUUUUUGCAAUCUGCGAUGAUUUUACCCAAUGAUGCAUUGUUGAUUCCAAUGAAAUUGUAGUCCAAACUCCCGUAUUGUUACAUAAGCUACUAAGACAAUGUCCAAGCUUAGUAAAUGUGCACUAAGAAAGCAUUUACUACUCAUACCUGGCCUACUUCAUUUCCUAAUAAUUCACGCCCCUUAAAUAAUAAUGUUAGCAGAAAGGUUAAUAUAUUUUAAUUUCCAACUGUAAUAGUUCCUUACUUCCUUCUAUAGUAUAAACACACAUCUAGUGCUUUUUGAUUUGCACUAUCAAAGCUUGAAGAAGCCAUCACAUAAAAAACGAGAGCAAUAAAGAUGUCAUGCCCAGGCAAGCAAGAGUGGCCGGAACUCCUCGGCGAAGAUGGAAAAAAGGCAGCAGAAACAAUCGAGAAUGAAAGCCAUUGUACUAAAUGAAGAUUCAGAAAUACCGUUUGAUCUGAGAUGAGAUCGUGUUUUUGUUUUUGUUGAUUCAAACAACAUUGUCGCUUAUGUUCCCUCGGUUGGCUAGCUAGGCUACGAAUUAAUGCAUACAAUAUUGCUACGUGCAUGCAAGUGCAAUAUAAUAAAGUACGUAGAUCAAUGUGUAUGUGCUUCAAUUAAGGCAACCUCGUGCUACAUACUAAAUAAAUGUGCACAUUCAAUUAGUAUUCUACUUCGUAUUAGCACUUGAUAAGUUGGUAGUGAUUAUUAAUGGUGAUCGGUAUCGUCUUUUGUUA